UACGUAGGGCGCAAGCGUUAUCCGGAAUUAUUGGGCGUAAAGAGCUCGUAGGCGGUUUGUCGCGUCUGCCGUGAAAGACCGGGGCUCAACUCCGGAUCUGCGGUGGGUACGGGCAGACUAGAGUGAUGUAGGGGAGACUGGAAUUCCUGGUGUAGCGGUGAAAUGCGCAGAUAUCAGGAGGAACACCGAUGGCGAAGGCAGGUCUCUGGGCAUUAACUGACGCUGAGGAGCGAAAGCAUGGGGAGCGAACAGG
rnacentral:rRNA from 1 species